rnacentral:misc_RNA from 1 species
CUGUGUGCUUUUGAGAGUGACAGGGACUUAAACGCAUUCAGAAAAGAUCGUGCACCUCAACAACAGCCCUGUUCCUUUUCUUUCCUCUCGUAUGCUCUUGUUCGAUUGAGAAAACUAGCGAAAAUGGCCGAGAGAUCGUGGUGUCCAUCCCUUCACGCAGAGCCGAGUGUCUCAGUCUGGCCACUCUCUAAAAAUGCAGUUUUUGGAGCGCACAGCGAGCAAGCCGCCGGCGACGUUUUUUCAGCUCAAAGGGGUGCGUCUGUCGCCGCAAACAACAGUGUCUCAGCAACUCAGGUGGCCGGGGAACUGACUGCUUCUUUCCAGCGCCGAUUUCAUCGAUUCGACGCAGCUAUUGUUUGCUCUAAGGCGAACCGCUCCUUGUGGCCUCCGCACUUUGGUGCUGUUACGCCGUGCGACGAGGAUUCUGUGCUGACGGGGCGUGUGGCUGUCUGUCUCGAUAUAACGCGAUGGGGCAAACACCGAUAAAUGCAGCGGAGCUUGCGAUACCAUCCGACGGCAUCGACGCUUUUUUGUCCCUCAUGGCGCGCCGCUCUGCUGAAAGUAAUGGACGUUUCGCAUCUGAUUCAGUAACGAAGCUGGUCGCCUUGCCGUCCGCUGACACUGUUGCAUCGCUGAGUGAGAUUAUCGGAUCUCUCGUGAGCAGCAAGCCAGUGAUGGAGCGGCUGAGCGGGCUGGUUGCGUGCGGAGCGUCGGCCGCGACGGCGGAUGAUGUCCUCGCUGAAUUUCUCAGCUCUGCGACAAAGCUGGAGGAGCUGUGCUUAGUCAACUGCACGCUUGAAAAUACUGUCACCGCGUUGAUGGAGGCUGUGAAGAAUACGGAGAUGAAACGCUUAGGUCUCGAGCGGAGCGACCUCGGGAUCGGCUCUGCAGAUUCGGACUGUGAGGGCCUCACCACCUCUUUCUGCGAGGCUUUGAAGGUGAACAAGUUUCUGACGUCGCUAAACCUCUCUAACACAAACUUGGACACAACGUUUGUUGUUGCCCUCAUUGACGCCCUCCUGGAGUCUGACACAAAGCUGUUGCCUGAAGACUUGGGCGAGGACGCCGAGGAGGUCACAGGGUGGUCCCUUGAGGGGCGGCUCGAUAAAGCCGCGUUCGUUAGUGGUGGCGGUCGAGAUGAUAGCAACGCUUCUCUCACUGAUGACGAGACUGUCGGCGACGAUGAUGAUGCUACUCCAUCACCGGAUGCUAGCGAGAGCGACGCAGGCGAGGACGACGCGGGCGACAAGGAUAGUGGCGACGAGGAGGCAGAUGGCGACACCGAAGACGAGGAAGGAUCUGAGGAAGAGGAAGAGGAGGAAGAGGCCGCCCACGAGGCCAAGGCUCGGAGACUACGUGAGCGGCAGGAAAAAGAGGAGUGGCAGGCCCGGCAGGAGCGCAUUCGGCAGGAGCUGAAGGCGCUUCUUCAGAGUGAGGUGCGGGAGCGUAGCGAUCUCGCUCACGAAUACUAUCAAGGGCUGCAAGACGUCGUUGCCAUCAACAACGCCCCAAUCGCCAAUCUUCGAGCCACUGAGAGGCAGCAGAAAAAGGAGGCGUACUGCAGCCGCCGUAGUGGCUGGUCACGACUGGAGACGCUGGUACUGCGUGGCAACCAGGUCGGCGACCGUGGGUGCAGAAGCUUGCUUCUCUGCUGCGAGACGAAGUUCCGCUGUCAGAGGAGGAGGUGGUGCAGCGCCAGGAAGCGAUCGAUGCCAUACGGGGCAGCUUCGGGGAGAGGCUGGGCGCCGCCCGCCGUGCUGUCGAGAGAAGGGAGAAGAGGGCGUGGCGGGAGCUGCUGCGGAAGGCACAAAAAGAAUCACCGGAUUUCGCCAUCGAUCGCCGCACGAGCAUUUCCGCUGCGUUAUCGGACCUGGACGAGGAGGAUGAGUAUGCCAAGGAGGCGCCUCCGGUGUUGCUCACGAAUGUGGAGCGGUCACCUAGCAGCAGCAGUGUCGAUGAGAGCCCAGCGUCUGACGGCGACGGUGACACCGAAGCUUCUAGUGGCUUCAACCCUGAGGAGCAAAGGGAAUGGCAGGAGUGGGUCGCGCAAGCGCUGCCGCACAUGCCCGUCGCUCUCACGAAGAAAGGCAUGAACACAAUUCGUGUCAUCGAUUUAGGCAGCUGUGGCAUCAGCCGAAAAGGAGUGAAGACGCUGGCUGAGGUUCUCAAAACGAACAAGGUCCUAGAGACGCUGUGCUUGCGCCACAACCCGAUCGGCUCUAGCGCACCGGCGAAGAAGCAUGCGCAGCCGGAGGACGGCCUGACGAUCUUUCCGGAAUUCGCUGAGUUUGCCGAAAUGCUGUCCGUGAACGGCGCUCUUUGUCACCUGGACAUGGGCUAUUGCCACCUCUCUCCCGAUGAUGUGCGAGCGGUAGCCGGGGCACUGCGCAACAACACGUCCAUGGUUACCCUGAGUCUGGAGGGGAACCAGCUCGGCGUCGACGAGGGGUAUCAGCAGCAGACGCACGCGCACUCGUACAUUUACGAGCUGUGGAUGACUGCUGCGCGGCCGGGCAGUGCGCUGCGCAGCCUCAAUAUGGACCACAACCACAUCGCCACCUGUCUGUGGCAGGAGGAGGUGGCGGCGCUGGCCGCUGUAUGUGGCCAGCUUACCUCACUCUCGCUCUCUCAUGUAGGCUUACGACUUCGCCACCUCGAGGCCUGGUCUGAGGCACUGCCUCCAGAAGAUCCGUCUUACAGCCCGGCCGUGCGGGUCCUGCACUUGGCUCGCAACGAGCUCGCCACCGAGGCGGAUGGUGCGGCGCUGGGAUUGCUCUUGCGACACUUCACGGCACUCGAGGAGCUGUCAGUGGAGGAGCAUCCCCUGCUCGGGUCGAGUGGGGUGGCUGCUGCGCUGGAAUACCUGCCAGCCACAAUGCGGCGGCUCAACUGCACCGCGACGGGCUUGACCACCCCCCGCGUUGGCGCCGCGCAGAACCCAGUGUUACCGGUCGCGGUGGUGGAGCAGCUCACGUGUUUGCUGCUCGGUGACGUUGAGGCACCGACGGUGACGGCGCUUGGUGAGUGGGUGGAUUUUGUGAAAAGGGCUGCACCACAUCAGCUGCAGUUUCUCUCUCUGUGGGCCCGUGGAAUGGCAGGCAAGGAGGCCGACGUUAUGCCACUCCAACUCGAGUUGGCACAGACGUGCCCGUCACUGCUGCACGUGGACAGCGGCUUUCAGCCGGAGUUUCACGCUUCCACUUUCGCCAGCAACUGCUUCGAACAGAUGGAGCGGCUUCUUUUCCCCCGGCGCAUGCGAUGUGCCGCGGAGCAGAGCAAGGUUUAGCGGUGGCUACCACAGUGACGCUGCGUUCAUGACCGUGACAUGCUGGAGCGCGCGUUACCAGAAUUAUGUACAGUAAUGUUCAGUCUUUUCUUUCCCUUUCACUGGCUUGGUGAAG